UACGUAGGGGGCUAGCGUUGUCCGGAAUCAUUGGGCGUAAAGCGCGUGUAGGCGGCCCGGUAAGUCCGCUGUGAAAGUCGGGGGCUCAACCCUCGAAAGCCGGUGGAUACUGUCGGGCUCGAGUGCGGAAGAGGCGAGUGGAAUUCCUGGUGUAGCGGUGAAAUGCGCAGGAUAAUCAGGAGGAACACCGAUUGCGAAGGCAGACGUCGCUGGGACGUUGACUGGACGCUGAGACGCGAAAGCGUGGGGAGCAAACAGG
rnacentral:rRNA from 1 species